CGUCAUGCUGGGAUGCCAUUCUGACCAUAUUUAGACAUGUCACAUGUUUCUAUCAAAUACAAUUUGAUUGUCUGAACAGCAUGUAAAAUAAGAAGGUUUAUGUAAGGACGUGGGAGGAAUUCAAGUUUGGUGUGAUACAUAUGUGAUAAACAAUAUCAUACAAUGAACUGGUAGGCCUAAUUUUACUUCAAAUGUCGUUUUUCUGCAGACAACGAACCCCGCACCAUGUCACUACGAGGGCAGGCCUCAUUCAACCCCACACGUUAUCACAUCAAGUUUCAAAUCAAAAACACCCAGAUUCAAGACUUCGCAUACGAGAGUACCGGGACCGGGGUCGUACGAUAAGACAUACCAAUCACCGCAACCUGCUACAAUCGCUAAGAUGGGACGAAAUCACGGACUUUUUUUCUCAAGCGCAUUCGAUCAUUAAUGAUCUAUAUCAAACGAAAAUUACGCAAUCAUCUGGGACUAUGUGUGAAUAAUGUAUGAUGUCGAUGGAAAGGUCUACUGUAUAUAUGUACAUUAUGAUAUGAACUUAUUAUUUUUAAUACCAAUAACCCGGUUUAAUUGGAUGUGGCCUUACUAAAUAAAGAAAGAGGUUUUAUUUUAAAGAUUAGUCCUAUAUAAAGGGGUAGGCUUAUGUUUUACGUACCUGUGUGGUGUACGGUACAGUACUUCAUGAAGAAAAUAUUUAAUUGUACCCUCCAAAAACGGAUAGCAUCAAACUUCUCAGUGAUAAAGUAUAAUCAAGUCAGACCAUAAUGUUAUGGAGGGCUUACCGAACACAGACAAUUGUUGUUUUUUCGGAGUGAUACCCACAGUGAUUUCUUUUGUUUUUGUAAUUUCCUCUUCAUAUCUUUUAAUUGGCACGAUUCACCUUUAGGCCUAUUAAUUGUUAAUUAUAUGAGCCAAUAUAUUUAAAAAAAUAUAUAUAAUUGUGUAUUGGGAUUGGAUUGGAUUGGGUCUCUAAGCUACACGUCAUUCAUGGUUACGCGCCGUAUGUUGUUUUACACGGUUGUACCGCACCGUACGUGUCGGAAGAUAAAGUUGUAUUUACGUCACUUUAAACGCAAUAUAAUAUCUUGACUUGACUUGCCUUAAUUAUCAUUUCAAAAUAAUUUACCAGUACUAGUCUUCACUUGGAUUAAGACUAAUGCUAAAUUAUUGAUUUUAAUAAAGUAUUUGAGAAUGUA